GCUUAACCGAAGAAGUGCAUCGGAAACUGGGUGACUUGAGUGCAGAAGAGGACAGUGGAACUCCAUGUGUAGCGGUGGAAUGCGUAGAUAUAUGGAAGAACACCAGUGGCGAAGGCGGCUGUCUGGUCUGCAACUGACGCUGAGGCUCGAAAGCAUGGGUAGCGAACAGGAUUAGAUACCCUGGUAGUCCAUGCCGUAAACGAUGAGUGCUAGGUGUUGGAGGGUUUCCGCCCUUCAGUGCCGGAGCUAACGCAUUAAGCACUCCGCCUGGGGAGUACGACCGCAAGGUUGAAACUCAAAGGAAUUGACGGGGGCCCGCACAAGCGGUGGAGCAUGUGGUUUAAUUCGAAGCUACGCGAAGAACCUUACCAGGUCUUGACAUCUUGCGCUGACCUAAGAGAUUAGGUGUUCCCUUCGGGGACGCAAUGACAGGUGGUGCAUGGUCGUCGUCAGCUCGUGUCGUGAGAUGUUGAGUUAAGUCCCGCAACGAGCGCAACCCUUGUUACUAGUUGCCAGCAUUCAGUUGGGCACUCUAGUGAGACUGCCGGUGACAAACCGGAGGAAGGUGGGGACGACGUCAGAUCAUCAUGCCCCUUAUGACCUGGGCUACACACGUGCUACAAUGGUCGGUACAACG
rnacentral:rRNA from 1 species